AAUCAACGCUGGCGGCGUGCCUCAGACAUGCAAGUCGAACGCGAAAGUCUCCUUCGGGGGACAAGUAGAGUGGCGCACGGGUGAGUAACACGUAGGUAAUCUACCUUCGGAUGGGGAAUAACAACCGGAAACGGUUGCUAAUACCGCAUAAUGCAGCGGCACCUAAUGGUGACAGUUGUUAAAGCGGGGGAUCGAAAGACCUCGCGUCUGAAGAGGAGCCUGCGGCGGAUUAGCAGUUGGUAAGGUAAUGGCUUACCAAGGCUACGAUCCGUAACCGGCCUGAGAGGGCGGUCGGUCACACUGACACUGACAUACGGGUCAGACUCCUACGGGAGGCAGCAGUCGGAAUUUGGGCAAUGGGCGAAAGCCUGACCCAGCAACGCCGCGUGAAGGAUGAAAUCCC
rnacentral:rRNA from 1 species